UACGUAGGCAGCGAGCGUUGUUCGGAGUUACUGGGCGUAAAGAGUGCGUAGGCGGUUUUCUAAGUUUGGUGUGAAAUCUCCCGGCUCAACUGGGAGGGUGCGCCGAAGACUGGAAGGCUUGAGUAUGGGAGAGGUAAGCGGAAUUCCUGGUGUAGCGGUGAAAUGCGUAGAUAUCGGGAGGAACACCAGUGGCGAAGGCGACUACCUGGCCUGUUCUUGACGCUGAGGCGCGAAAGCUAGGGGAGCAAACGGGG
rnacentral:rRNA from 1 species